rnacentral:rRNA from 1 species
GAUGAACGCUGGCGGCGUGCCUAAUACAUGCAAGUCGAACGGAAAGGCGAUGAUCUUGCUGGUCGCACGAGUGGCGAGCGGGGGUGUAAAACGCGUGGAAAACCCACCUGUAAGUGGGGUAAAAUCUGGGGAAAGCGGCGAAUAUCGGAUAGAAGAUCUUGAUGCACAUGGGGGGAUGGAGAAUGUCGGCGGUUGGGGAUGGUAUCGCGGCUUAUCAGCUGGUUUGGGAGGUAGUUGCGUACGAAGUCUUCGACGGGUAGCCGGCCUGAGAGGGUGACCGGCGACAUUGGGACUGCGAGAGGGACCAGUAUGCUACGGGAGGCAGCAGUGGGGAAUAUUGCACAAUGGGCGGACGUCUGUUGCAGCGACGCCGGGUGCGUGAUGCCGGCUUUCGGGUUAAAAACCGCUUUCGCAGGUGACGUAGCGUUAGUGACGGUAAUGGGUAAAGAAGCACCGGCUAACUACGUG